rnacentral:lncRNA from 1 species
UCAAGCAUCACUAAAUAUGGAAAAUAAAAGAAAUGCAUAACAUGAUAUAGAAAUCUUUCAUGGUCUGUACCUUCAGUAUUUGGGUUGAAGACUUGAGAUAAAUACAAUCAUGAUGAGAAUGAUGCUGCUCUUUUUAUAAUGGGAGGAGGGAAGAGGAGUGUGUUAGACACCCUGGAAAGGAAUACUGAUUCGUCAGACUAAAAGUUCAAGUGUGUUUGAAAGCUCAACAUUAUCUGCUGAUUUUAGACUCUUCUUUCUGACUGUUUGAACUCACUAUCUUUAUUGUGAAUUUCAGCACACCUAGACACACAACUGGGUCUUUGUGUAUUUUUGUUGUUGUUGUUGUUGUUAGGCAGUCAAAUUUGUAAUGGGUCCCGAGUGCCAUAGACUCAAAGACGCAAUAUAAAUGUACAGUAUUGCUUUUAUUAUUGCUGCCAUCCUCUUGGACCCUAUUUGGUCAUUAUAAUGGGCCACUGUGUUCAUUUUGGAAAACUUUUCACAUAUUCCUA